rnacentral:rRNA from 1 species
CAAUAGCGUAUAUUAAAGUUGUUGCGGUUAAAAAGCUCGUAGUUGGAUUUCUGCCGAGGACGACCGGUCCGCCCUCUGGGUGUGUAUCUGGUUUGGCCUGGGCAUCUUCUUGGAGAACGUAGCUGCACUUGACUGUGUGGUGCGGUGUCCAGGACUUUUACUUUGAGGAAAUUAGAGUGUUUCAAGCAGGCACACGCCUUGAAUACAUUAGCAUGGAAUAAUAAGAUAGGACCUCGGUUCUAUUUUGUUGGUUUCUAGAGCUGAGGUAAUGAUUAAUAGGGAUAGUUGGGGGCAUUCGUAUUUAACUGUCAGAGGUGAAAUUCUUGGAUUUAUGAAAGACGAACUUCUGCGAAAGCAUUUGCCAAGGAUGUUUUCAUUAA